rnacentral:ncRNA from 2 species
UGAGGUAGUAGAUUGAAU